rnacentral:siRNA from 1 species
UAGUGUAAUAUGUGCCAACUGC